GGGGCGCACGUGUCGCGGGAAAUGGAGUGGACACCGGGGGCUUCAGGGGAAGACAUCCAAACGACCGGGAGUCACGCGUGGACUCUUUCGCGCGAGGUUACCAAGCAUGUCCUGAAGAUGAAGAUACUCUCAGCCUAAUGUCUCCAAGCAAAUAUUGAUUCAGCAGUAUCACCCAGGCAAAGCCACACCAUAUAUCAGUGAACAGAGAAACAACUGCCCUUCUCCGGGCCCUUCUCUGAGAAGCUGGAGCAUCAGCUCUGGAGCUCUCUGGAGCGGUUUCCUAGCUCACUGCCCCCAGCUGAACACAGCCGCAUGCAGAGGUCCAAAGCACGUAAACAGGAUACCCACCCUGCAUUAUCUUAUAUUUUAAGUCAAUAUGAAGAUGGACAUUCUACCCCUGAGACCAAUUUCGAUCAAAUACUUUUGUCAAUAAAAAGAUACUAAUGUC
rnacentral:lncRNA from 1 species